GUCAAAUGGAUAUUGGAUGUGUAUAUAUCCUAGAUUAUAUACUUAAGAGUAGAUAUAAUUAAUAAUUGGCUGCAAAAUUUACCGAUUUCCCAGUAUUUGUUUUUUAGAAGUAUAUUUUGAAAUAAUAUGGAAAUUUGUAGUUGAUGUAUAAUUAUUAUAUUAGUAAAAGCUGUUGGAAUCAAAACUUGAAAGAUGCUGUUAUUUAAACAAUGCUGGAAGUUGAAGAAGCUGAAGAAAAGAAGUUUUAAUUGGAUUAUUUAAC